AUUGAACGCUGGCGGCUGGCCUAACACAUGCAAGUCGAACGAGUGGCGGACGGGUGAGUAAUGUCUGGGAAAGUGCCUGAUGGAGGGGGAUAGCUAAUGGAAACGGUAGCUAAUACCGCAUACCAUCGGAUGUGCCCAGGUGGGAUUGGCUAGUAGGUGGGGUAAGGGCUCACUUAGGCUAAGAUCCCUAGCUGGUCUGAGAGGGUGACCGGCCAUACUGGAACUGAGACAAGGUCCAGACUCCUACGGGAGGCAGCAGUGGGGAAUAUUGCGCAAUGGGCGCAAGCCUGAUGGAGCCAUGCCGCGUGUGUGAAGAAGGCCUUCGGGUUGUAAAGUACUGUCGGCGGGGAGGCGUUACCCGCAAAGGAAGCACCGGCUAACUCCGUGCCAGCAGCCGCGGUAAUAC
rnacentral:rRNA from 1 species